GCGUUUUUAGAAAAGUUAUCUUGCGUUCGUUUAUAUAUACUACCACCAGUAUCCCUUGGCACAUGCAGGUCAAGGUGAUGCGGAAACAUGUCGUCUGUUUUUAAACGUCGCGCCACAUUCGGAUUUAAAUGAACUUUUGUCGAGACCUAAGUUCCUGCUAUUACUGUCCACCUCGUUUUUUUGUGUAAACUUUCUGGAAAUCGGAGAAUCGGAACUAACAUCGCAUUGUCCAUGCCUGAUAGCUGGACUUGUAUCACUGAUUUGAUUAUCAAUUAAAGGGGGGCUUUGAUCUGUAAAAAAAAAUCGAUAGGACAUUGCCAAUAUACCUUUUCAAAUAUUUCAAAGGCUUAGAAGCCUCAAUGCUUAAAAGUACGAGGAUGGAAGAGAAUCUUUUAAGUUUAAAAAGUUAUAUGUAUGUAUAUAUGAAGGGCGAGUGGAUCUUUAUGGUCCUAUAUGUCAGGGCAAGGCAUAGUCGGCGAAUUUUUAAAAUUAAGCCACAAUAAUACGAAAGAGUAAAAAAAAAAAUGUGAAACCUGGUUUUCUUAUAGUUUCUGGAAUUUACUUUAUGAUACUUUGUUACAAAAAAAAUAUUUAUUUACAUAAUUUUAUUGAGUAUUUGAAAACGAGCAGUCGAAGUAACAAAAGUAUUAUAUACAGGCACCGUAAUCAUGAGUUUUAUUUUAAAAAUCACAAAAUAAUUAUUGAUUUCUGAGCGAAAAAAUAAAAAUCUAUAAAAUUCAUUAUUCUCAGAAAAAUAUCACUUAAUUCAUGUUUGCGGGCUAUGUAUGUAUUAAAUUUUUUGGACAUAUGAUUGCAUAUCUCUAUAGACUAGGUAUAUAUGUAGGUCCAAAUUUACACUAUGAUUUUCCGCAAUCACUCCUCCUCCGCUCAAAAAUUAGAAAAAAACAGAAAAUCGGCAAUCCUUUUUAGUAUAUUUUCAAUAUUGAAAAAAAUUUGUCGUCAUGCAAUAUAAGCAAGCAACAAUUUGCCGGAAACGAAACAUAUAAACGGAAACGUGCAAUUAAUGGAGAAAAUCGGAGAUUUUAACUUUGGAUGAGUCUUUCAAAGAUAUGGUAACUGCUAGAUACCAUUUUUAAAUUUUAGUUGGUACACAUACAUUUCAAAAAUGAUAUGUACUAGAAACAAUGAUGGUCAUCGCCAUUACACGGCAUACAUAAUUCAAUAUAUGGUAAAAUUUGAUCAAUUUCUGCUCUUAGGUGUACCGCGGAAACUGUGGGUGAUAGAACCUAUGCUUGUUCUGGACUUUGGUUCAGGGGAGCCUAAAGGUUAUGGAGCAGGUAAAAUUAUGCGUGGAGUUGGCCUGUGUAGUUUUAAUCACUCAGAUAUGAAAAAAAAAAUCGCAAAAAUCAGUUUUUUUUUCAGCCUCUGAAACCAUCUUGCCCGUUCCGGGGGGGCUUAAAGGUUAUGGAGCAGUUGAAAUUAUGCGUGGAGAUUUUUUGCUGUUGGCCUGUGUUAUUUUUAAUUUUUUUGCUCAGAGAUCAUGAUUAUUUUUGAUUUUUAUUUUUUCGCUUGAAUGAAUGAUUUAUUUUUUCAAAGAAUGAUCAGUUUUUAUUUUUCGCUCAAAACAUAAUUAUUAUUCUUUUUUUAUUUUUUUUUUAAUUUAUGAUUUUUAUUUUUUUGGCUUAGAAAAUAAUGAUUAUUUUGGGAUUUUUAAAAUAAAAAUUAUUUACGGUCCCUGAUUAUAUAUAAUAUAAUUUGUAGUUAUCACUGCAUCACGGCAAAAAAUUGAAUGUGAAUAAAUGAAUUUAAACUAUAAAAUAUUAAAGGACAAUAAAAAUGACUGUUUAGUGACUCCAAUUAAGAUACUAUUUCAGAUUUAAUUUAGUAGAAACAAAAUCGGUUAAAAUAAACUUUAGAAGCCAUAAAGAA